AUGGACCUCAAAGGGAAGGAUUCGAGCUUGGAUAGGGUUGAGAAAUUGUAUGGAAAUUCAACUCAUCCUCUUCUUCACGAAGGCGAUAAUCUUAAAUUCGGUUUGCAAUCGGCGGUGACAUUCUUCUUCUCAAUGACGAUCCGCUUCGCCAUCGUGGUUCCAACUCGUACCUUCUUCAUCUCACCGUUGAAUCCGCACUAUUGUCGUGGUUCAAAAUCAACCUCUGGUCGUCAUCAUUCAACUUCUGUCUCAAUGAUUCGUCUGUAUCGAUUAACACCACCAUCUCACUCUCUGACCAGCCUCAUCUUUUGCGAACCAUUACUCUCACCGCUUGAUGAAACCAAAAGAUAA